rnacentral:rRNA from 1 species
UACGAAGGGUGCAAGCGUUACUCGGAAUUACUGGGCGUAAAGGGUGCGUAGGUGGUUGUUUAAGUCUGUUGUGAAAGCCCCGGGCUCAACCUGGGAAUGGCAAUGGAUACUGGACAGCUAGAGUGCGGUAGAGGGUAGUGGAAUUCCCGGUGUGAGCAGUGAAAUGCGUAGAGAUCGGGAGGAACACCAGUGGCGAAGGCGGCUACCUGGACCAGCACUGACACUGAAGCACGAAAGCGUGGGGAGCAAACAGG